GACUGGUUGGAAUUCAUUGCAAGGCAGGCCUGCAUUGGCAUGACUCAAGGCCUGUGUGAACAGCUAGAAGAGAGUUUUGUGAGGCUCUCUUAUACCAGGGAUUUACUUUUUCCACAUCAAGACAGAACAACUGAGCUUUUGAGGUUGAGCUGAUCCCAUUUCUAGCAACUAGCAUCACUUCAUAAUGCUGUCACUGAACUCAUACAGAAAAGUGUUUCAGAAAGGCCUAUUGAAGCUGUCUGGGAGAAACUGAUGUCACACACUAUGAAGAUUUGGUGGUGAAACAAAGGCACGUGGAGUUGAACUCAUUUGCUCAAGUUACCAAGUAGGCAAUGGCAGAAUCUGAGCACUCAGACUUCUGAAAACCAGGAACCGAAUUCUUCACAUAGUGCCCACACAACUUGACCUCCAGUGGACAUAAGGUAAUGCUUACAUCUUGAGAUGUUUCAAGUGUCUGGGACCCCAAAUCUUGAAUGUUUGAAUACAUGGUUGUUACUUUAAGUGGUUGAGAGAAAGCUGGACUGUCUUUCUCCUUCUUCAGCUCCUUCCCCUUCCAUUCUUUGCACUAGAAUUUCCCCUGAUACUUUCAGAUGAGCCUUGGCUUUUUGUCCCAUUAAGGCAGUAGUGUGGUAGACAACUUCAGUAAGUUAAAACGUUGCCCUUUGCUAUCUGGCAUACUGUAUUGCUGCAUACACAGGCUAUUAGGGGGUUGAACACUUACUUCCCUGAUCCAAGUCCCCUUCUCCCCCACCUCCUGCAUGUGCCUCUUAUCCAUCAUCUCCACUUAGCUGCAGUCCCAAACCCUUCUCACUUUAUAUUUCUCACUCGUUCAUCCCCUCGUUUUUUUUUUCCCUUUUACUCCUAACAAGGGUAGAACUGAAACCAGUAUUGAACCUCACCAAAUCUCUACAAAGGCCCAGCAUCUUUCCCUUGUUGCCACCACAAUCACUUGGGCAGAUGCUGGCUAAAAAUCCUUGUGGUUACUCUGUGCUUCAAUGUGAAUUCUAAUUGACUGCUGCACCUAACUUUUCUGAGAUGCUGAGACCAGAACUGCACACAAUAUUCAAGACACUGGCACACAAUUGAUUUCUAUAGUGGCGUGAUGAUGUUUUUCAUUUUGUUUUCAAUUCCUUUUUUAAUGAGGCCCAACACUUUGAUGGCUUUUUUUGGUUACCACUGCACACUGAGCUGAUGUUUUUUAGACAGCUAUCGAUAAUAAGUCUCGGGUCUCUUUCCUGAGUCAUAACAGCUAACACACCAGUCCGAUUUUCAGACUGCUGGUGAGCCACAUGCUCAAUAGCUGUCUCAGUUUUGGCAACCAAAAAUUAAGGCACUCAAAAAUCACUUGUCAUCUCUGAAGGUGUCAGUCAUUAUAUUUGUCACGUAAUUUUUUGCAUCCUUUUUUGUCCAUGCAUUUGAUCUGUUUCUUAGUACUCCUCUCUCAGACAAUUUAAGAAUAUUGUGUAUAAAUAAAGAUCAUGGCUAUGAAUAUGUAGAUACUUACAAUAUAAGGAAGUUUGCCUUUGCUUAGUCCUUUUGAACUUGUGGGUUUCUAAGGUAGUAAAAUACUUCCAAGUUGACAUUUUUGGUUGUUUAACUUCUGGGACCAUUAAUGCCUACAUUUUAAUACACAUCUGGCCCAUUACUGUUAUUUAUGCAUAGCAUCAACUCUAAUGAUCAUAUAUUUUGUUUGACUAUACCUCUUCUUUCCUCAGAAUUAACACUAUGAUUCAUUUUAACUGUAACAGAUUAAUGGGUACCUAAUGAAAUGCAUAAUUCACUUAGAUUAAUAAUGGGAAUUAAUACAAGUAAACGUGUGCAUCACAAAGUAAAAUCUUCUCUAGCUGAAAAGAUACGCUUUGAGAAAUGGUUCUAUACAUCAUCUUUUAUCAUGAAAUCAAAGAAACAUAAACCUUAGUAAUUGUUGUUUGGUACAAUAGGGCAUAAGGGAGGAAUGAGAGAAUCAAGGCUAACUUAGAACAGGUAUUAUCUUAACUGCUCCCACCUUGCAGCUAGUUAGCAUUUGGCCUAGCUAAUUAAAAGAUACAUCUUCCCAUGUUGUGUCCAAGUUUGGUAUAAAUGUGAAUUCAUUGUAUGCGAUACUUAAAA